rnacentral:lncRNA from 10 species
CUGGCGGCCCCGGCGGCGGCGGCAGGUGUGGAUGGGGCGAAGGUGCGGGAACGUCCACUCCCGCGCGCCCCUCUCGGGGACCAGGGCGGCCUCCCAGGAGGAGCUUGGUUUCUGGUCCUCAUACCGUGUGGUUGAGUGAAAUCAAAACUUCCACGAUAGCAAUGCUGAUUGGACAAAGAAUGUGUUGUGGACACAAAACCAAACUCUGGAGGACAGAGGAUUCAUUCCAAGGGUCUGCUUGUAUUCAAUGACUGGUCUACGUGGGGGUGUGAAGUCCCCUUACUCCACCUGUGAAGAGUCUUCCCAGUUUCAGACCACCCUCCCAGCCUCCUGUUAUUGGCUAAGGCCAUUUUGUGACUACACUGCAGGUAGAGAUGGAUUCCUGGAAAUACCUCCUCAAGGCCAGUGUAGAGCCCUCAAUCACCCACUGCCCCCAGCUUCUCCUUCUCCCAUCUCCUGCACCAAGCAGGUCUCCAGGUGUUCCAGCUGCUGAUGACGUAAAGUGUGGAGUUGGUCCAGGAAGGUCAUGUUCCAUGCAGCAGAGGAGCGCUUUGUGUGAGAAGUUGAAGACCUGCUGUAACACAUCAUAGAGGAAAGACAUAGCCUGGGCCUUCUGCAACUGGCUGACUUCCACCUUCUCCUGGGGGAAUCUGAAGUCACUUCUGUCCUUUAGACACAAGAAGGGAGAGAUUCUCCUCAUUUGGCCCAAAAGCACCAAGGUGUUCCUGCCUAGCAGGCCAUGGUUCUGAGGUAUCAAAGUCUCAACAGCCCUAGAACGCUGAUAACAAAGGGAAGCUGUAUCAAGACCUAAAUUUAACAGUUUCCUUUGAUUGCAUUGGCCCCAUGAAAAAUUUUCCCUGCAGUGGAAUGACUUGUUGGCUCCAAGGAAGAAACCACAAGAGGCAGCAGGUAGAGACAGAUUCUCUGGAAGUACCUUCUCAAGGCCAGUGUAGAGCUCC